rnacentral:rRNA from 1 species
AUCCCGAGAUUUCCGAAUGGGGCAACCCCUUAGGUUGAAGACCUAAGACCACUCCUUUAUUGGACUGGAGCAAACGCCGGGAACUGAAACAUCUCAGUACCGGCAGGAAAAGAAAAUAACAAUGAUUCCCCAAGUAGUGGCGAGCGAACGGGGAGGAGCCCAAACCACGGCGGUUACGGCCGCUGUGGGGUUGUAGGACUGCGACAUCUGAUUGAAUCGAGGUAACUGAAGUGUGUGGGAAAACACAGCAUAGAGGGUGAGACUCCCGUAAGUGACACUUCUGAUUCACGGUAGCAGUAUCCUGAGUAAGGCGGGGCCGGAGAAACCCCGUCUGAAUCGAGCGGCACCAUCCGCUAAGGCUACAUACUCCUGAGACACCGAUAGUGAACCAGUACCGUGAGGGAAAGGUGAAAA